UCCGGUUGAUCCCGCCGGAGGCGACCGCUAUUGGAAUUCGAUUAAGCCAUGCGAGUCGAGAGUCUUAGGGACUCGGCGUACCGCUCAGUAACACGUGGGUAACCUGCCCUGUGCUGGGGAAUAACCUCGGGAAACUGAGAAUAAUGCCCCAUAGUUCACUACGCCUGGAACGGUGGGUGGAUCAAAGCUCCGGCGGCACAGGAUGGGCCUGCGGCGUAUCAGGUUGUAGGGGGUGUAACGUACCCUCUAGCCUUCAACGCGUACGGGUUGUGGGAGCAAUCGCCCGGAGAUGGAUUCUGAGACACGAAUCCAGACCCUACGGGGUGCAGCAGGCGCGAAAACUUCACACUGCAGGAAACUGUGAUGAGGGAAUUCCAAGUGGCUAGACAAAGUCUAGUCUUUUUGUAACUUUUAAUCGGUUACAGAAUAAGGGGUGGGAAAGACCGGUGCCAGCCGCCGCGGUAAUACCGGCACCUCAAGUGGUCGUCGCUUUUAUUGGGCCUAAAACGUCCGUAGCCGGUUUGGUACAUUCGUGGGUAAAUCAGCUCGCUCAACGAGUUGAAUUCUGCGAGGACGGCCAGACUAGGGACCGGGAGAGGUGUGGGGAACUCUCAGGGUAGGGGUAAAAUCCUGUCAUCCUGAGAGGACCACCUGUUGCGAAGGCGCCACACUAGAACGGAUCCGACGGUCAGGGACGAAGCCUAGGGGCACGAACCGGAUUAGAUACCCGGGUAGUCCUAGGUGUAAACGCUGUGGACUUGGUGUUGGGGAAGCCCAGAGCUUUCCCAGUGCCGUAGCGAAGGUGUUGAGUCCACUGCCUGGGGAGUACGGUCGCAAGGCUGAAACUUAAAGGAAUUGGCGGGGGAGCACUGCAACCGGAGGAGUGUGCGGUUUAAUUGGAUUCAACGCCGGG
rnacentral:rRNA from 1 species